UACGGAGGGUGCAAGCGUUAAUCGGAAUUACUGGGCGUAAAGCGUGCGUAGGCGGUUCGUUAAGUCUGUUGUGAAAGCCCCGGGCUCAACCUGGGAAUGGCAAUGGAGUACUGGCGAGCUAGAGUGUGUCAGAGGAUGGUGGAAUUCCCGGUGUAGCGGUGAAAUGCGUAGAUAAUCGGGAGGAACACCUGUGGCGAAAGCGGCUCACUGGACCACACGUGACGCUGAUGCACGAAAGCUAGGGGAGCAAACAGG
rnacentral:rRNA from 1 species